rnacentral:tRNA from 1 species
GGGGGUGUAGCUCAGUUGGUUAGAGCACAAAGCUUAUACCUUUGCGGUCGAUGGUUCGAGUCCAUCCACCCCCACCA